rnacentral:rRNA from 1 species
UGGCGGACGGGUGAGUAAUGUCUGGGAAACUGCCCGAUGGAGGGGGAUAACUACUGGAAACGGUAGCUAAUACCGCAUAACGUCGCAAGACCAAAGAGGGGGACCUUCGGGCCUCUUGCCAUCGGAUGUGCCCAGAUGGGAUUAGCUAGUAGGUGGGGUAAAGGCUCACCUAGGCGACGAUCCCUAGCUGGUCUGAGAGGAUGACCAGCCACACUGGAACUGAGACACGGUCCAA